rnacentral:tRNA from 1 species
UGGGGCAUGGUGCAAUGGCAGCACACCAGACUUUGAAUCUGUGAAUCUUGGUUCGAAUCCAGGUGCCCCAGCC